UGUGCACAAGGCCCUGGAUUUGAUCACCAGCAGCACAGAAAAAUUAGGUUGGAAUAAUACAGAGACCAGCAUGGCCCCUGUGCAAGGACAACACGCAAAUCUGUAAAGCUUUCCAUACUUUG
ensembl:snRNA U6 U6 spliceosomal RNA